rnacentral:rRNA from 1 species
AACGAACGCUGGCGGCAUGCCUAACACAUGCAAGUCGAACGAGACCUUCGGGUCUAGUGGCGCACGGGUGCGUAACGCGUGGGAACCUGCCCUUAGGUUCGGACUAACUCCCCGAAAGGGGUGCUAAUACCGGAUAAUGUCUUCGGCCCAAAGAUUUAUCGCCUUUGGAUGGGCCCGCGUUGGAUUAGCUAGUUGGUAGGGUAAAAGCCUACCAAGGCGACGAUCCAUAGCUGGUCUGAGAGGAUGAUCAGCCACACUGGGACUGAGACACGGCCCAGACUCCUACGGGAGGCAGCAGUGGGGAAUAUUGGACAAUGGGCGAAAGCCUGAUCCAGCAAUGCCGCGUGAGUGAUGAAGGCCUUAGGGUUGUAAAGCUCUUUUACCCGGGAUGAUAAUGACAGUACCGGGAGAAUAAGCUCCGGCUAACUCCGUG